CCAGACUCCUACGGGAGGCAGCAGUGAGGAAUAUUGGUCAAUGGGCGCGAGCCUGAACCAGCCAAGUCGCGUGAGGGAUGACGGCCCUACGGGUUGUAAACCUCUUUUGUCGGGGAGCAAAUUCCGCCACGUGUGGCGGAGUCGAGAGUACCCGAAGAAAAAGCAUCGGCUAACUCCGUGCCAGCAGCCGCGGUAAUACGGAGGAUGCGAGCGUUAUCCGGAUUUAUUGGGUUUAAAGGGUGCGUAGGCGGACCUGUAAAGCAGGGGAAAACACGGGGGGCCCCACCCCCCCCCCGCCGUUGAAACUGGCGGCCUCGAGUGGGCGAGAAGUAUGCGGAAUGCGUGGUGUAGCGGUGAAAUGCAUAGAUAUCACGCAGAACUCCGAUUGCGAAGGCAGCGUACCGGCGCCCAACUGACGCUCAUGCACGAAAGCGUGGGUAUCGAACAGGAUUAGAUACCCGUGUA
rnacentral:rRNA from 1 species